CAGUCGCCACGGUAAAACGUAGGUGGCAAGCGUUGUCCGGAAUUAUUGGGCGUAAAGGGCCCGCAGGCGGUUUCUUAAGUCUGAUGUGGAAGCCCCCGGCUCAACCGGGGAGGGUCAUUGGAAACUGGGAAACUUGAGUGCAGAAGAGGAGAGUGGAAUUCCACGUGUAGCGGUGAAAUGCGUAGAGAUGUGGAGGAACACCAGUGGCGAAGGCGACUCUCUGGUCUGUAACUGACGCUGAGGAGCGAAAGCGUGGGGAGCGAACAGGAUUAGAGACCCCUGUAGUCCCUGUCUCUUAUAC
rnacentral:rRNA from 1 species